rnacentral:rRNA from 1 species
ACUGGCCCACUGAUUGAUGGUGCUUGCACCUGAUUGACGAUGGAUCACCAGUGAGUGGCGGACGGGUGAGUAACACGUAGGUAACCUGCCCCGGAGCGGGGGAUAACAUUUGGAAACAGAUGCUAAUACCGCAUAACAACAAAAGCUGCAUGGCUUUUGUUUGAAAGAUGGCUUUGGCUAUCACUCUGGGAUGGACCUGCGGUGCAUUAGCUAGUUGGUAAGGUAACGGCUUACCAAGGCGAUGAUGCAUAGCCGAGUUGAGAGACUGAUCGGCCACAAUGGAACUGAGACACGGUCCAUACUCCUACGGGAGGCAGCAGUAGGGAAUCUUCCACAAUGGGCGCAAGCCUGAUGGAGCAACACCGCGUGAGUGAAGAAGGGUUUCGGCUCGUAAAGCUCUGUUGUUGGAGAAGAACGUGCGUGAGAGUAACUGUUCACGCAGUGACGGUAUCCAACCAGAAAGUCACGGCUAACUACGUGCCAGCAGCCGCGGUAAUACGUAGGUGGCAAGCGUUAUCCGGAUUUAUUGGGCGUAAAGCGAGCGCAGGCGGUUGCUUAGGUCUGAUGUGAAAGCCUUCGGCUUAACCGAAGAAGUGCAUCGGAAACCGGGCGACUUGAGUGCAGAAGAGGACAGUGGAACUCCAUGUGUAGCGGUGGAAUGCGUAGAUAUAUGGAAGAACACCAGUGGCGAAGGCGGCUGUCUGGUCUGCAACUGACGCUGAGGCUCGAAAGCAUGGGUAGCGAACAGGAUUAGAUACCCUGGUAGUCCAUGC